UGGGGAAUAUUGGACAAUGGGCGAAAGCCUGAUCCAGCCAUGCCGCGUGUGUGAAGAAGGCCUUUUGGUUGCAAAGCACUUUAAGCGAGGAGGAGGCUACUAGUACUAAUACUACUGGAUAGUGGACGUUACUCGCAGAAUAAGCACCGGCUAACUCUGUGCCAGCAGCCGCGGUAAUACAGAGGGUGCGAGCGUUAAUCGGAUUUACUGGGCGUAAAGCGUGCGUAGGCGGCUGAUUAAGUCGGAUGUGAAAUCCCUGAGCUUAACUUAGGAAUUGCAUUCGAUACUGGUCAGCUAGAGUAUGGGAGAGGAUGGUAGAAUUCCAGGUGUAGCGGUGAAAUGCGUAGAGAUCUGGAGGAAUACCGAUGGCGAAGGCAGCCAUCUGGCCUAAUACUGACGCUGAGGUACGAAAGCAUGGGGAGCAAACAGG
rnacentral:rRNA from 1 species